GUUUGCUCAUCAAUGGCCGCCUCCACCAUGUCGAUCUCCUCCACGGCGAUGGCCGGCACCCCCAUCAAGGUGGGCUCCUUCGGCGAGGGCCGCAUCACCAUGCGCAAGACCGCGGCCAAGCCCAAGGUGGCGGCGUCCGGCAGUCCCUGGUACGGGCCCGACCGCGUCAAGUACCUCGGCCCCUUCUCCGGCGAGCCCCCGAGCUACCUCACCGGCGAGUUCCCCGGCGACUACGGCUGGGACACCGCGGGGCUGUCGGCCGACCCCGAGACCUUCGCCAAGAACCGCGAGCUGGAGGUGAUCCACUCCCGCUGGGCCAUGCUGGGCGCGCUCGGCUGCGUCUUCCCCGAGCUGCUCGCCCGCAACGGCGUCAAGUUCGGCGAGGCCGUCUGGUUCAAGGCCGGCUCCCAGAUCUUCAGCGAGGGCGGCCUGGACUACCUGGGCAACCCCAGCCUGAUCCACGCGCAGAGCAUCCUCGCCAUCUGGGCCGUCCAGGUCGUGCUCAUGGGCGCCGUCGAGGGCUACCGCAUUGCCGGCGGGCCGCUCGGCGAGGUCGUCGACCCGCUCUACCCAGGCGGCAGCUUCGACCCCCUCGGCCUGGCCGACGAUCCCGAGGCCUUCGCCGAGCUCAAGGUGAAGGAGCUCAAGAACGGCCGCCUCGCCAUGUUCUCCAUGUUCGGCUUCUUCGUCCAGGCCAUCGUCACCGGCAAGGGCCCGCUCGAGAACCUCGCUGACCACCUGGCUGACCCAGUCAACAACAACGCCUGGGCCUACGCCACCAACUUCGUCCCCGGCAACUAAGCUCAUCAGCUGCUCAGUUGGCUAUGCAACUCCAUUGUCUUUUCGGAGAGGGCGUACGUGGAUUGAUUGAUGCUGCAAGUUAGCUGCAUGUGUGUCUCUUGUUUCACGUUGCAUUUCAGGGGGCAAGUCGAGAUGAUGAUGAGUUGGCGUUGUACACUAAGACGAACGAUGCUUGUGCAAUAGUAGUUGUGGUUUUGUUUCCCGGUGGUUAAUUAUUGAUUUGUCAGAUUAAGGUCAUCCAUUAAUUUGUUCGUCUGCGAUGCUUUCUGCUGUUUUUAUAGUACUUCCUAGCUCUAGGAAUUUUGCAAGCAUAAGUGCUUGGAUAAACAGAAACUAUCGAUGAAAAUGAAAGAUAUACACAUGAAUGCAAUGCUUAAAUUCACACAAUAAGCAACUGUUCAUAAUUAACUCAUGACCCUGUCAUGCCCCUUGUCCCCUUCUUUGAGAUCACCUGUGUAACCUCUAACUUAAUGCGAAUGCUCAGGGGGGUACAUGCUAUAUUCUCUCCCAAUUCGAGUUUUUUUUUCCCACAAGAUACAAACAACAUCAUAACCUGUUCCUACCAUCGUUUUGUUGGAUUGUGUCCACCCAACCGAGGCCAGCAAGCCGCCACCUGUUGGCAGUUGGCACCGAUGAAACCAGCACUGCUCUAUCAUCUCCAGUAGACCAGCACUAUAAGGUCCCUUUGGAAUAUGUGUUUUUUUAUGAAACAUUUAUCAUGAAAAUGCACUUAUUUCUUUGAAAUCUCUAUACAAUUUUGUGUCUCAAAUGAUCUCGUGUCACAAUGUUCUAGUGUGUACCAUGUAUGUGCCAUGUUACCUGUGGUUAGAACCUUUAACUCUUUGUCUCUCAUGAACAACACGAUAGAUACAUGUAAAAAGAAUAAAUGAUACAAUGUCAGAGGAAUUAUUCUUUGAUUGUUGAGAAUUACAAUGUGAAGCUCCCAGGUAUAUAUGGGGCUUGUUUGGAUAUUAUUUUCAUAGUGAAAUUCUGAUUCUAGAUAUAUAGAAUCUGGAUACAAAUGAUGGGUGUUUUGAAUCUUAUUCUUAUAGUGAUUAUUGCAUUUAGUGAAAAUCUCUGAAUACUAGGUUUAGGGUAGAUAGUUGGAUUCUAAAAUACAAGUGUUUAGAUCAUAUUCUCAUUUUCACCCCAUUCUCCUUUUUAUUAGGAGAUCUAGACAGGGCCAUAAUCCAUACAAAAUCAAAGAGUUUGAUAAAAGCUCACACAGUGGAUAUACUAGAGUCUGUUUGGCAGAGCUCUUAAAGCAACUUCUAGACUGAAUCUAGGAGAAGCUCUGCAAAAUAGUUUCUUAGUGAGAAGUGAUUCUCUGAAAUAAACUUGGAGGCUGAGAGCUAAACAAAGUAGCUUCUCCUAAUUCACUCCACACAUAAAAGCAAUUGUAUGCAUAGAGUUUAUCCUAGAGUUAAAUAAUUCUGAAUUUUACCUAAAUGUAUAUAAAAGCAAUCAAUAUUUAUUAAUGCAUGAUAUGUAUAGAUUAAUUAUAAAAUAUAUAUUUAAAUUAGUUUAUUUGAAGAUAUAAAUUUCGAGAUCUAAAUUUAGAAUUGUUUGAUUUUUCAGAAACGAGAUUUAUAGUUUCUUUUUUCAGAUGGAGCUGAGUAUUUCUUAUUCACAUGCAUCUCUCAUCAGGCCUAUUCACACGCAUGUCUCGUACUCUCGUUAGAGUUCCUGCUUCAGCCGCCACCGCCCAGCCGAGAAAUCCCUACCACAUCGAUCUCCUCCUCUCCAACAUCCAUGGAAGACGAUCACUGUCCUCCCGAUGAUCCGGCGUCCAAGCACGACAUGUUCCCUGCCAAUAUCCUGAUUCCCCCGCCUAUGUACCCCGAGGAUAUUGAUCCCCUUCCGGACUCCAUCCUCUUCGAUCCGAUCGGCUACAUCAGCGACCGUACCAACGGCACCACCGCCGGCGCCUUCACCAAGGGCGGCAGGCGCAUCGAGGUGACCUUCUGGGUGGCCCACCCUCCACGCGCGUCCUACUUCUCCGUCCACAGCCCAGCUGGCCUGGAGAUCGACGACCAUCCCGCGAUCGUCGCCACGGAGAAGGACCUCGCCCUGCUCCGCGUCCCCAUCUGCCAUCCAAACUACAACUCCAACAACUCUACGGGCAGUGACUACUUCGUCUAUGAGGCCGGCACCAAGCCAACGCUCAGGCUCGUCGCCAUGCCCCGCUAUCUCUCCAUCCCGGACAGCAGCGUCGGCCUCCUGCGCUUCCGCCGCCGCGGUAUGUUCUUCAUCACCAUACUGUGCUGGACCUUCACCAUCGGGCAGUACGAUCUACACCUGUACACCUCGGAGACCAACUCAUGGAGCAAGAGAUUGAUGCAUAUUGAUUCACCGGAAGCAGCAAAGAACUACACCUAUGCCAGCAAAAUUAUCUCCAUCGGAGGGGAACAAGGUUCAAUGGCGGGUUUGGUGGCUUGGGUUGAUCUGUGGAAUGGCAUCCUCAUCUGUGACUUACUCCAGGACAGCCAAAUUCUUCAAUACAUCCCAUUGCCGUCGCCGCGUGUGCCCACACUGCGCGGAGGUUCACCUCUGCAUGUUCGAGACAUCAAUGUCGUCGGAGGCUACAUCAUGUACUUCGAGAUGUGCCUCUACGUUGGACUAGACCUAGAGGAAGGUUGGGAGGGAGCUACAUCGAGGAUGAAGGUUUCUCGUACGGAGACAGAGUGGGAGGAGGGCUGCAGGAUCAAAGUUUGCAGUGACCCAACAUCUUCUCGUGUGCCCCCUAAUCUGCAGGAAGGCACUGUACUCAAAGAACCAGUGCUGAAGGGACGGCACGCAGGCUUUCCUGCUAUCAGCUUGCACGAUGACGAUGUUGUUUACAUCAUGGACAAACACAAAUUCCUGGACAAAAAGGCAUCAGUGGUAGCUGUUGAUAUGAAAAACCAGACUGUAAAAGGUGCAGCAGAUUUUGUCUCUGGUGUAUUCUUCGGUCUCACUCAAGUCUACAUUCCAAGUGGAAUUUCCAGAUAUAUGGGUCCUUAACGGUACUAUACUGGGUUAUAAUUGGCUUCGUACCGAGGCGCAACAGGGACCUACUCCCCCUCUGCCCCAAAAAGAAUGGAAGUCUCACUUUGUGAGGAGUACAAAAUCACAAGUUCACGAAUCGAUUUAAAUAUAUGAAUAUUGACACUAUUAUCUAUAAAUAUAGUUAAAUUUAAAAUUGUUUGAGUCUUCGGCAGCAAGAUUUACAUCCUUUUUUAAACGGAGAGAGUGUUUGGUUGCAGUUGAAGGGAAUCCGUUUUUUUUUCUUUUGACAGAAAGGGAAUCCGGUUGAUUAUCAGUCACUGACAGCACGUUGUGGCUGGGCCUGUUUAGAUGCUGCUCUCAUGCUAGGCAACAGAUCCUGGAAUCUCAAAAUCGAUGACCUGGAUUGCUGCCUGAUCAGGCAAGCUUGCCUGGCUAAGCAACCAAACAGGCCGUAGUCCUUCGCAUGCAUCAUAAACGUCUAGCAAGCCAGUCCCACUAGAAAUAACUUGCCAAUUCCCUAUAGAAACAGAGAAAAUAUUCAUUUCUACCGAGCUAGCCUCGGGGGUACCUUAAUAUGUAGAGAGACAAACUCAGACUACUAUUCAGUUAAUUAAACACGCAGACGCUGCGUCCAUAGACCUGUCUCAGCUAGAUAUAAAUGGUAAUGGUACCAAUCACGCCCUACGUCUACGUGAUCGCAGCCUAAUCUGGAUAGAGCCGAGGCAUCAGCACCAACAAAGACUUUGGUCCGCUCCCGUUUUCUUGCCUCACUGUCAAUGAUGUUCUAUGUUAAAAAAGUAAAAGCUGAAACUCACCUGCUGAGAUACUUCAGUCCACCUAUAGAAUUCUAGGGCCGGUUGUUGAGUACAACUCGAGGGCUAUAGGGAAGGAAACAGUCUUCUUUGAUCUGAACUAGCAGUCUCAACUUUGGUUACAUAUAAUAUGAACUUACCGUCUAAUAUCUCGAUCGGUGAAGAAGUCAUCCCAGGGAAGGUCUCCUCGGCAGUGUUCGCGGUGACCUUGCAUGAUAACUGGUAACUGCCCAAACGGCAAUUACUUAGCUUCCCUCUAUUUUAAAUUAAAUUAUAUAAUUCACUUCAAUCUUGACCCAAGUCAAACUUGCCUAACCAAUUUUUUAAGAAAAAAAAAUGUUAGUAUCUAUAAUUUGAAUAAAAAUACUGUUCAAACAUAAUACAUGGAGAUUUUUUAUGAAAUUAAUUAGAUGUUAUAAGCGCGGGUGCAUUUUCUAUAAAAUUGGUCAAAAUUAAAGAGCUUUGAAUUAGAACAAAGCUAAAGUGAAUUAUAAUUUACAACAGAGGGAAUACAUAGUAAAUAGGACUAAAAUUGUUUGUUAGGAUGCCUAACUUUGGACCUCAUUCUCCAAGAGUGAAGUUCUUCAUCUGGCUUCUGCAGAAAAAGGAUCCAGCGUCGUUCUAACCUCCACCGCAAACACAUAGUGGACUCUCCUAUCUGUGAAAUCUGUCAAUGUGAAGAUGAAACUCCAGAGCAUAUCAUCUUCGGAUGUCAUUUCGCUGCUGCGUUCUGGGCAAGGCUUGGCAUAGCAUUGGCCCUGGACUAACCGAUCGGCGACCUUGUUCUAACUGCCAGGCCUGCUGCAAUUCCUGAAGUUUAGUUCCCAAUGUUCUUGGCUGUCUGCUGUUGGCAACUUUGGAAAUGCAGGAACAUAGUUAUUUUCAGGAAUGAAGCUCUCACCCUACAGCAAGUUCUAUCAUCCUGCAAAGCGGAAGCUAACCUGUGGCGAUACAGGUUGCCGGUGGCCUCUAGAGCUUUGAUAGACCAACAGUGCAUUUUCUUUGGUUCUGUAAUGUAGAUUCUAUGAGCCUUCCUUCACCUACAAACAAAAACCCUCUUCCGUGAGGCAUUGUAAAUCAAUCCAUUUGAUGAUGAAUAAAUUCAGGUGGGUGACCGAAACUUUGGACCUCAUUUUUUGCACUGCUCUGGUCUGCAUUAUUAAUUGUUUUGUAAUAAUGAAUAGCCAUAUGCAUUGAUCAAUGCAGAAGCUGGGAUAUCAAUAUAUUCUCUUUUCUAAAAAAAACUAUAUAUUGAGCCAAGCAAACAAGGCCAAGCUGCACUACACAAGCUGACAAGCUUGUGUCAUAGCCAUGCAUCAGCUAAACAUAACAUAUACUACAUACUCAAGUUUAGGAAGCUACAAAGCAGUGUGGUUUCUUCCAGACGAAUGAACCACUUCAUUUUCACAAUUCUAGAUGCAAUGAUGCAUCCAUGCAUCGUAGUACAUAACACAUCAAGCUAAGGUAACAAUCCUAUAAUCCCUAAAAAAUAUAACACCUUGGUAAUUAACAAUCCCUUCGAUGUAUACAUCUCAACAACCAACACAUUUUGACUACUAGAAUGUUUGAACUCAUUACAUACAAGUCCAUGAGAAACCCGGAUUGUUUUGCAUUUUGCGUGCAGACCAAGCAUGCGGUAGGAACUUACACCAUUCCACAUUCAUACUGUAUAUAUGUAGGGGGCGCCUCUGCAAACCUUCUCUACCGUGUGCGUUUAGGUGUAAACCGUUGAAGUCUAUGGCAUUCAUGAGUUCCAUUUCGCUCUACAUUGCAGCUCUCCUCCUAUUCGCAGCCUUGUGCACUUCGGAUGACCGUCUUGUCCCUGACAAGCCGCUGUUGCCCGGCACCACCAUCAUAUCUGAUGGUGGUGAAUUCGCCUUUGGCUUCUUCGCCCCAUCCAAUUCCACUCCAGAGAAGCUCUACCUUGGCAUAUGGUACAACAACAUCCCCCGGUUCACUGUGGUGUGGGUUGCAAACCGGGCAACUCCGGCCAUCUCCUCCUCAACUCCUUCGCUUGUUCUGACCAACAAUUCUAACCUUGUCUUGUCCGAUGCCAACGGCCGUGUUCUGUGGACAACCAACACGACCACUGCUCCGAGGUCGAAUAGUACUACUGGAUUGGUGCUUAUGAACACAGGCAAUCUCGUCCUACGGUCACCAAGCGGCAAGAUUUUAUGGCAGAGCUUUGACCACCCAACUGACACGCUACUCCCUGGCAUGAAGAUAUGGAGGAGCCACAAGACGGAUGAAGGAAACCGGCUUGUUUCUUGGAAGGACCCCGAAGACCCCUCGACGGGUACCUUCUCUUUCGGUGUGGAGACAGACUUGUUCGUGCAACCCUUCAUCUGGAAUGGCUCCCGUCCGCUCUGGCGCAGUUCUGUAUGGACAGGCUACACGAUCUCCAGUCAAGUCUACCAGCUGAACACCAGCAGUUUGAUGUACCUAGCAUAUGUUGACACUGUCGAUGAGAUUUCCAUCGUCUUCACCAUGUCCGAAGGUGCCCCACCUAUGCGGGCUGUGAUGAGCUACUCAGGCAGGAUGGAACUACUUGGUUGGAAUAGGAAUUUAUCAGAUGAUUGGACAGUGCACAUAACAUGGCCGGACAGUAGUGAGUGUAGCAGGUAUGCCUACUGUGGACCCUCUGGUUACUGUGACUACACAGAGGCAACCCCAGCUUGCAAGUGCCUUGAUGGGUUUCAGCCUACGGACGAGGGAGAAUGGAGCAGCGGCAAGUUCUCACAAGGUUGCCGGCGAAAGGACCCACUACGCUGCAGUGAUGGCUUCUUGGCGAUGCCGGGCAUGAAGGUACCUGACAAGUUUGUUCGCAUCAGGAAAAGGACCCUUGUGGAGUGUGUGGCAGAGUGCAGCAGCAAUUGCUCUUGUCUGGCAUAUGCAUAUGCAAACUUGAACAGCAGUGAGUCCAACGCUGAUGUGACAAGGUGCCUGGUGUGGAUUGGAGAUCAGUUAGUUGACACGCAGAAGAUAGGUAUGAUGUCAAGUUAUUUCUUUAACACUGCUGGUGCUGAAGCUGAAGAGACGCUGUAUCUCCGGGUGGCAAAUAUGUCAGGUACCAUUUCAUAUGAGGAGAAUUUCUAAAUCGGAAGUUCCCAUGUGGGUGCGCCCCUCUGAAGCCACCCAAUAUGAAUUGAUUGGAUGGCUAUGGGUGGCAUUCCCCCUUGUGGAAGUGUAUUUUCAACAUGUUAUCUCUUUAAACUCAGUACUUAGGUUUCUUUCCCAAAUCCCAAGUAUGCAGAUACCAUAAACACUAGUCUUAUAUCAAAAUAACAAAACUAUCUAUUAUAUUGUCGACCAGAAUUUCUUGGAAGCUCGGUAAUGUUAAUCUACCUGGUCUAAAGAGCAUGCAUCAGGGUCAUGGCGAGGCAUGUAGUAUGACAGUGGCAACUAAUUUGCACGUACUCACAAUCUACGCACAUUGCAGUAAAAUAUGUGUAGCAAGUACCUGCAAUAGAUGCUGAGCUGAGGUGCACUUUUCUCUCUCAAUGAUUUAGCUAUUGGUACAAUGUUCACUACUACACAUUUUUCAGUGAAAAGGGUACUAUACGUGUAAUGUCAGAACAUUAUUGCACCUGUUUGGCUGUUCGCGGACAGAACUCUGUAGGCAUAUGACAUGAAUUUUCAUUGCAUUUGCAGGUAAAAGGACAAAAACAAAUGCAACAAAAAUCGUGCUACCAAUAUUUAUUAGUGCUAUUCUUCUAACUUCCAUUUUACUUGUAUGGAUCUGCAAGUUCAGAGGUAUGUUUUCUAAUCUACUUCUACAUACUAAUAGCAGUAACUUAAAAACAAAUAGUCACCAACUUUUCGGAGCAGGAAGGGGAAAGGAUGCAGCAAAUCAUACCAAACUAAUGCAUAGGGGUUUGACCACUUCAGAUGAAAUUCGAGAAAGAAACACUUCCCGUGAUUUUGAACUUCCAUUCCUGAAAUUCCAAGAUGUUCUUGUUGCAACAAACAAUUUUUCCCCUACAUUUAUGAUUGGACAAGGAGGUUUUGGCAAAGUUUAUAAGGUAAUUUUCAUUGUAGUUCUUCUUCUUUGUUUUUCCUAGUUUAAUCAUUGAAUCAGGUACACUGCAUGAGUUAUCACAAUCUUACUUUUCUUUGAUAAUCUUAUAUAGGGCGCACUAGAAGGUGGUCAAGAGGUUGCUAUUAAAAGACUUAGUAGGGACUCAGAUCAAGGAAUACAGGAGUUCAGGAAUGAAGUUAUUCUAAUUGCCAAGCUACAACACAGAAACCUAGUUCGACUUCUUGGUUGCUGUGUUGAGGGAGAUGAAAAGCUGCUGAUUUAUGAGUACUUGCCCAAUAGAAGCUUAGAUGCUAUGAUUUUUAGUAUGUUCUAUUGACAUUUACCAGAAGUUUAACAUAAAAUUUAACAAUUAUAUAUUUGCAUUUUUAACAUAUAUGACAAUUGUUGUUUUGCAGACCAGGAAAGAAAUGCAAGACUUGAUUGGCCAAUAAGAUUCAAAAUUAUCAAAGGAGUUGCAAGGGGACUUCUCUACCUCCAUCAUGAUUCCAGACUAACAAUAGUUCACAGAGAUCUCAAAGCCAGCAAUAUUUUACUAGAUGCAGAGAUGAGACCCAAGAUAGCAGACUUCGGAAUGGCAAGAAUCUUUGGUGACAACCAGGAAAAUGCAAAUACGAGACGAAUUGUUGGGACAUAGUAAGUACUAUAUAUUGCAAAUUAAAUAUAAGAUUUACCAAAACCAUGUCCAUAAUUUUUUAAAAUGAAAUGUUCUUACCAGUGGUUACAUGGCUCCUGAGUAUGCAAUGGAGGGCAUUUUCUCUGCGAAAUCUGAUGUCUAUAGCUUUGGUGUGUUAGUAUUGGAGGUUGUAAGUGGCAUAAAGAUAAGCUAUGUGGAUCGCAUACCGAAUUACCCAAACCUAAUAGUCUAUGUAAGCAAAUCUCAUUAUUUCACAGAGUAAAGAGCUUGGAAUAUUUUUUUAUACAAUAUCAACGUGUGAUGUGACUGUUUCAGGCAUGGAGCCUUUGGAAGGAAGGGAAGGCAAAAGAUUUGAUAGAUGAAUGCAUUGAUGAGAACUGCUUACAAGAUGAAGCUUCACUUUGCAUCCAUAUCGGGCUUUUGUGUGUAGAGGAAAACCCUGAAGAUAGGCCAUUCAUGUCUUCUGUUGUGUUCAACUUGGAGAAUGGAUACACAACACCACCAGCGCCAAACCACCCUGCAUAUUUUGCACAGAGAAAUUGUGAUAUGAAGCAAAUGCAAGAGAAUAUUCUGACCUCUAAGAACACAGUGACUCUUACAGUCAUAGAGGGGAGAUAGAGUAAUUGUUUUUAUUUUUAGUCACAAAAUAUUUGUCUAGGUUAAUUCUUGAAGUGUGAAUAUAUAAUUUCUUUUUUUAACGCAAUAUAUAAUUGCUUUUAGCAGUAAUCUGGAGGUGAUACAAGUAUGCCGCUAUCUUUUUCCAACUAGAAUGGUGCAAACGGUUUUGUAUGGAAAACUGAAUGCCUGGUGAUAAUCAAACAGAUAUAUCAAGAAAGAUCCCAUUUAGAUAAUACAGAAAGCAUAAAGUUUGCAAAACAAAAAAUCUACCUAGUAUGGGGGACAGCCAGGCAGGGGAUGCAAUUGUUGAUUAUCACUGACCCAAGGUUGUCAUCGAUCACCUGCAGAAGGCAGCACCAAUCGUGUAAGCAGAUAGCGCUUGCUGCCAUGCAGGGACAAGCGGCUGGUGCCUGCUGGUGUAAACUGGUGCAGGUGCAGGAGUGGCAACGGCUCAGGCAUUCUGCCGAACACAUGGAAGGCGUUCAGCGACCACAAGCGAGGAGGAAGAUUAGCUGAAAGUUGCAGUGGGCACGAAGAGAACGAACGUGGGUACACAGCUUGCUCUCAGUCGCUCAGAUUCUCACCUUCCCUACAUUGGCGUCCGGCGAGCGACGGUCGAACCUUUGAUCUCUGGUCUCUGGAUUGGUCGGAUAUGGUCAUAUCGAGGACAUGCACCGCGGUCCGCGAGGAAUCAGGCGACUAUGCUAGGCGAGAGUGCUCCCAAAUCUGACUGAGCAGCAACUUGCAAGCGUACACGGUCCAACCCGUUACGCAGUGCAAAGUUUGAGGCCCGUAAAGAUUCAGCCCUAGUAGAAGGAAAACAGAAGAAGAAGCCCAUGAAGCAUCUCCGUCUUUUUGAGAGGUAAAAGGAUAUGAAAGCUUUAUUAGAGUUUAGACGAUGAGAAACUGAGAAUAUUUUCCUUUUUUAUUACAAAAAUAAAUAAAUAAAUAAAUAAAUAAAUGAAUGACAGUGAUGUUGCCUCACUCCUUUUAUUUUUUUACUAGAACAUUCAUUUUCUCUACGUAGAAUGGUUAACCGUUGCUAGGCCUUGUUUAGUUCCCAGAAAAUUUUGCAAAAUUUUUCAGAUUUCUUGUCACAUCGAAUCUUUAGACGCAUGCAUGGAGUAUUAAAUAUAGACAAAAAUAAAAACUAAUUACACAGUUUGGUCGAAAUUGACGAGACGAAUCUUUUGAGUCUAAUUAGUCCAUGAUUGGACAAUAUUUGUCAAAUACAAACGAAAAUGCUACAGUGUUGAUUUUGCAGAAUUUUUUGGAACUAAACAAGGCCCUAGUCAAUUAAAAAUGUUGCACCAUAAAGGAGUACCUGCCGAAAGAUGUUCCACCAUGGGGAAUAAUAUUGCCUGCUUAGUCGAUACCUGGCUACAUAGUCGGGUACAGAACUCCAGGUAAUUCUCCGGGUGCAAGUGCAACCCCUGCUAAAUUUUAUCCAACUAAACUUUACUCACUUUAAUAGCUAAAGUUCUGAAUACAAUAACUAAAAAAAAUUAAAAUAGUUUAGUCCUACUAGUCACUAAAAAAUAUCUAAAAUAAUUUUAGCUGACUAAAAUUUAGCAAAAGAAACCAAAUAAGGCCUUAUAACUAAUAACAUCAAAUUUUGGAUACAUCGUCAGCUAAUAGCAUCUACUAAUAUCAGUGGCAUAUAUUUCAUUAACAAGAACAGGAUAGGCAAGUACAACCCACGGUAAUCCAAAGAUUACCAAAACACACCAAGCUCACAGAAAGUUAAGAGUUGAGAUUACAUUAAAACAUGAAAAGUGACUAACUCCGUCAACUCUAAACACGAAGGGUGUCAACAGCUCCCAGAGCUCUGAAACCCCCAGCUAUCCACAAGGACACUUUUUGAAGAAUGGUCUGAAGAAGUGUCAUCGGUUGGCUUGUUUCUAUGUCGAAAGUACGUGCAUUCCGCUCUUUCCAGAAGAUCCAACUGACUAGCAACACAAGUAAAUCAAAACCUCGACGGAUGGUCUUGGGCAAGCGUUUCCUACUGCUGAUUCACCACUCCAUGGUACAUCUCCUAGAUGUUCACCAGAUUCUGUAGCGCGAAAAAAACUAAGGCACAGAAACCAGACUUCCACAAAAGAUGCACGGGAGGCUGUCCUAGAGGCCAUGACGCCACCUUCUUUCUACCGUCCAACAUUUCCUAUGUAAGUUUGACAGGGGGAGAUAGAGUGACUUCAUUUUUAGUCACAAUAUAUUUCAAUAUUUGCCUAGGUUAAUUUUGUAAACAGAUGGUGCUUGCGUUAGCAUUAAUCUGGAAAGUUAAAUAGUGUACUGCUAUCUUUUCUCUACUAGUAUGGCGCACACGCUUUCUUUGAGAAACCAUAUGCAGCCUGAAUGGAAUAAUCUAAACGGAUAGCUCAACAUCCUACUGAGGUAGGGUAUACUUGGCUAAGAGCAAUCACAAUGUGUACCAUAAGAUAGUCCAUAGGAUUAAAAUAUUUGCUAUCAGGUAAAACACUGUUAGACCAGUCUAUAAAAGAGUCCAUAGUAAAAGGUAUCCAUAAGAUUAUGGACUACCCAUAGAGAAUAAAAAAUGUUACUUUUUCUCACUCCUCACUCUCUCUUUCUUGGCUUUGCACAGGAUUGUAAAGAAAAAUAAUUUUUUAUCUUAUAUGGGAUCCACUUUAUGGACUAUUAGUUGUUGACUGAAACAUUGUGAAGACAACAAUAGUUAUUGUUCACUGACACAAAAGCUGCUCAUAUGGACUACUUAGUCUAUAUACAUUGUGGUUGCCCUAAAUGGGCGGCCCGACCCUAGCACUAUACGGCAUCAUGCGGCAUUAUAUCCUAUCGUACCGUGCCGUCUCGGAUCAUCGUGUUAAACUCUCGACCCAGGCACAACACUAUGGCUCUUUAACCGUGUCGUGCCGUGCCGAUAGAUACGGCGUCAUGAUCUAUCCUCAAAGUAUCAGACGAUGAAAAUAAUCGAGCUAGCGUCGUGCCGGCACUGCGGUCCGAAGUUACGGCCCUGGUACGACACUACCACCAGACCGUGUCGUGUCCGAAUCGUGCUUUUUAGUGUCGUGUUCGGGCCAGUUCAUUGUGUUAGUGCCAGAUGGAAAUCUAUAAGGUAAGGUUUUUGAAGCAGACUCCAAGGAUGGGAUCAGGGGAUGAGAUUGUUGCUUGCGCUCCUCCUGGCCUCCUGCUAGUGAGGUCUGAGCUCCGAGACACAGUCGCCGCCAAUCGUCUGCAGCAGCAAUGACGCAACCCGCUAUCGCCUGCCGGCAUUCGCGGACAAGUGGCCGGCGUGGUGUAAACUGGCGGCGCGGCCGGUGGACCGCUGGCGCUGGACGCAAAGCGAGGGAGGGGCAAGGGGAACGGCUUGAGCAUUCUGUUGAACAUGUCGAAGGCGUCCGAUUCUUAUACGAGAAUGCGAGAAAGCAACUGUAGCAGGGGCCGCCGCUACACCCUAACACAGUAACACCUGUCGAACAGCGGAUGCGGCAGAACACCUGUCGAACAGCGAUGAUGAUCAUGUCGGCGUGGACGGCGAUGGAGAACGGGCCUAAUUGCUGGGGCGCAAAAGAUUUAUGGCCCAUGAAGAUUCACGCCCCAAAGUAAAGAGAAAAAAGCUCGUCAUAGCCCAUCCCGUCGAAGUGCAAGUUGGGCCAAUAUUUGGGAGACCCUACGUACCCAUGUCAAAAAGGAAAAAGUCUACUUUAGGUCCCUCAACUUUCGCAAAAGUCUGAUUUUCAUCCCUGAACUCUAAAACCGGACGAAAUACAUCCCUCAACUUUUAAAACCGUGCACAUUACGUCCUUAACCUGGUUUUGAAAGUGGUUUGCCCUUUUCUUUUAAUUUAUUUUGGCUGAUUUUUUUGAAAAAUCACAGUAAAUCACAUAAAAAUCAUAAAAUAGAAAACUCAAUUUUGUUGGACUUCAGAUCAGUAGAUCUACACAUUGAAUAUAUAAUAUAGUAUGUUCUUGUUGAUGCAAAACUGAUCUGCAAACACAAAGGGCUAAUACCCGAUUCAAACGUUAAGGCGUGCCAGCCGAUUUGACCUUGCUAUCGGCAAAGGUGAUAACUCGAAUACUUUAGUCCUGACAACAGCGAUGCGCCCGGAUGUCACGGCUAAGAGGUACUCACGCGGAACUCGAGAACACGCCGAGCUUAAGUCGACGAAUUCCUAAGAACUCGUAAUAAAAAGAAAAAAUAUGACGAAGUCGUCGAAAAGUAGAUGCUGGAAUAUGAGUAAAAACGUGUGUUUGAUUGAUUUCUUGAUAGAUAUCCUGAUUACAAGGUCUUGGGGCUUAUAUUUAUACCCUGCUCAAAGAGCUACGACCAGACGCGAUUAGAAUUCGAAUUCCAAAUUACACGGAACCCGUAUACAAAACGAUACGAAUAACAUAAGGAAAUAAUAAAACCAUCCUUCGUGACAAACCGAAAUUCCUCCACAUGACAACUGGCAGCUUCCGGACUCUCCCUUCGCGUCAUCGGCAAUCCCCUUGCCAUAGUCAUCGGCAGACCCUUUUACUUGGUCAUCGGCACCAUACUACUGUCUGAGGACUUAGUCACAUUCAACCUUUCCCUCAUCGGCAACCAUCCUUACCAGCAACCCGCAUCGUACUGCCAUCCUGUCCUGCCAUCCUGGACACGUGCCCAAAAAUGGUGUCAACACAUGCCCCCCAGUUUCGGAGUAUAAAACUAUUAAUGCUCCGAAAUUCUCUGCAGUAAUGAUGUCUUCUCCGCAAUUAAUGCUCCUAAUCUGGUAACCGACAACCUCAAUCUGGGCAACUCUGAUCCUAAUCCCCCGCAGAUCCCUCGAAAUCCACAACUUCCCAAACGGGCAUCUCUCUUAGUCGUACAUCGGCAACAAUACCGUUACAAAGAUCUGCCGAUGCUCUGCCCAGGAUAUUCGCAAAAACGGUCACUUCCCCUCUAUCCGCCCAUCGGCAGGACGACUGUUAUAGAAUAUCACCGAUGGACCGACCAGGAGAUCGCGCACAGUAAAAUAUCUUUAGAUAAUGACCGCUUCCUGUCAAAUCACCUGCACAAUCCCUGGAUUAUCGUGCGAACAGUUACCAUAUCCACUUGAGUACCCUCGGGUUUCUCGGAUGCGGCAAAGAAAUAAGUCAGAUUUGCCCUUGUCCAUCUUGCCCUAUAAAUAGUUCCUUCUUGGGUACUCCUCCCUCAUUACAUCAUUCCGAUAAACUUAUUUUCAUUUAUUCUUAUAAUCCUUCCUGUCUUCUUUCAGGCGAUAUCGUUCUAUCGGCAACAUUUGCCGAUCAACCUGCAGCUCCAUCGGCCUCUCUGAGUCAAAGGCAGGAAAUCGCCUUGAAGCAAGUAAGUCAUCCACUUUUCCAUCGGUAUCAUCUGCCGAAGUUUUGACCAUAAAAUUGACCUAUUUCAUUUUCAUUUUCAGGAACAAGAUUCUCCCGACAGCUUGUUCUCCUUCGCUAUUGAUAUCUUCGAAGAAGAAGGCGAGGAAGCAAGCUCCUCUCGGGCAGUUGGAAUUGUAUCGGCAGAAACCAGAGCUAGGCUGGAGGAGCUAUCGGCCAUACUUCAUCAAGACACAACUCAACUGGUCGACGAUUCCGACCCAGCCAAGGCUCUGUUCAAGACUCUUAGAGGCCAAAUUCCUGCCGAUGCCGAAGAAGCACUCUUCCACGCUGCACACCUGGAAAGCCGCCAGCUACAGUACCAGAGAGCUACUCGACGUCUUGCCGAUAGAGCUGCUCAAAUCCAGCUCUCUAAGGAGAUGAUGAAAGAAAAACUCUUAGCCGAUGAGAAACAUAAGAACAUCGGCAUCUUAAAGUCCUCAGGUGAUGCACUGAAGCAGAAAAUGUCUGAUCUAUCGGCAAAAAGAGAAGCUCUGCUGGCUGAACUCAAGCAAGUAGAAGAUGCCCUGUCCCAAGCCCAACAAGAAAAUAGUCAACUGCCGGAGACCAUCAAACAUCUUGAACAGGAACGAAACGUCCAUGGUCGUAAAGCGCUGCAACUGAAGAGGAAGCUGAAGCCGAUUGAAGGUUCUGCCGAUGACGAUAUCAAAGAGAUAGAGACAGCCAACCAGAUUCGGCUGCGCGCCAUAUCCGCAAUCCAAGCGCUGCUGAACAUCUGAAGCCUUCAUCGGCGACACACCUUUGUUUCUCCGCUUUUAGCUUUUAGUCUAGCCGAUAAGACUGUUGUCGGCAUCUUUUGAAACAUUAAGUCUGCCCUUGAACAUUUAAAUUCAGCCGAUAGGAGUGUUAUCGGCACUUAACCUUUUAUGCAUCGAUCCAUAUGCUGGGGUAGUACUUCUUCAAAUAUUUGCCAUUUAACGCUCUGGGAAAUUCAACUCCUUCGAGAGUUUCUAAAAUAUAGGCAUUACCAGGAGCUGAGCGUUUUAUCCGAUAAGGACCUUCCCAAUUAGGAGACCACUUCCCAAACUUUGAACUUUUAGUCCCGACUGGCAAAAUCAACUUCCAUACCAAAUCCCCAUCGGCAAACUCCUUAGCCUUCACUUUUUUAUCAUACCAUCUGGCAACUCUCUUCUUAUUUUCUUCUAUACUCAUUAAAGCUUUUAACCGAUGCCCUGCUAAAUCAUCUAACUCAUCGGUCAUUAAAGUGGUAUAAUCAUCGGCAGCCAAUUGAUCUUGAAAAGAUAAUCGCCUAGAUCCAGCCUUAAUCUCCCAAGGCAAAACUGCAUCAUGUCCAUACACCAAUUGAUAAGGUGACACCUUGGUUGAUCCAUGACAAGCCAUCCGAUAAGACCACAGUGCUUCAUUCAACAAUGUAUGCCACCGCCUAGGAUUUUCUUCAAUCUUUCGUUUAAUAAGCUUGAUAAUUCCCUUGUUAGACGCUUCAGCCUGCCCAUUGGCUUGAGCAUAGUAAGGAGAAGAAUUCAACACUUUAAUUCCCAUACCGAUUGCGAAUUCAUCGAACUCCCCCGACGUGAACAUGGUGCCCUGAUCGGUAGUAAUCGUUUGGGGAAUCCCAAAUCGGUAAAUAAUAUGCUCCUUCACAAAAUCAAUCAUAUCGGCCGAUGUGACUUUCUUCAAAGGAAUAGCUUCGACCCACUUGGUGAAAUAGUCAGUGGCAACUAGAAUGAAUUUAUGCCCUUUGCUAGAUGGUGGAUAAAUCUGGCCGAUCAGAUCGAUAGCCCACCCCCGGAACGGCCAAGGUUUUAUUAUAGGAUUCAUAGCCGAUGCAGGUGCUCUCUGGAUAUUACCGAACUUUUGACAACCUUGACAUCCCUUGAAAUAUUUAAAACAAUCUUCAAGUAUGGUUGGCCAAAAAUAUCCAUUCCUUCGAAUCAUCCACUUCAUCUUAAAAGCUGACUGAUGCGCUCCACACACUCCUUCAUGGAUUUCCCCCAUCAAACUUCUGGCUUCAUCAUCACCCAAGCAUCAGAGAAGAAUUCCGUCGAUAGUUCGAUAAUACAAUUCAUUUUCAAGGAGCACAUACUUGGUCGCUUGAAACCGAACCCGUCUUUCAACUUUUUUGGAUGGAUCUUCUAGAUAGUCGAUAAUUUCUUUCCUCCAAUCACCGGCACUGACUGCCGAUGUCGCAUUAAUCAUUGGCUGAUAUCCUGAGGCAUGCUGGGCUAACCGAUUAGCGUCUUCAUUAUGCAAUCGGGGAACAUGCUCCAAUCGGAAGUUCUUGAAUUCCUUUAACAGUUGCAUACUUCUCUCGAAAUAGGUUAUGAGAACUUCACUUCGGCAUUCAUAGCUUCCGGCCAAUUGAUUUAUAACCAACAUGGAAUCCCCGAAUAUUUCGACAGCGUCAGCACGAACUUCUCUUAACAACUCCAAUCCCUUGAUCAGAGCUUGAUACUCAGCCUGAUUAUUUGUCGAUGUAGCAACAAUCGGUAAUGAAAACUCAUACUUCCUCCCCUUAGGAGAAACCAAUACAAUGCCGAUUCCUGCCCCCCGGUCACAGGUAGAUCCAUCAAAGAAGAGCGUCCAGGGUGCAAUUUCCAAGGUUUCCACUAGACCGCAAUGCUGAGUCACAAAAUCGGCCAUGAUAUGCCCUUUGACUGCUUUAGCCGAUUCGUAACGCAAAUCGAACUCCGACAGCGCUAAAAUCCAUUUACCGAUCCUACCACUCAUAAUCGGCAUAGAUAGCAUGUAUCGGACCACAUCAUCUUUGCACACAACAGCACAUUCAGCCGACAACAGGUAAUGUCUCAGCUUGAUACAUGAAAAAUAUAAGCACAAGCACAGUUUCUCAAUGGCCGAAUACCUGGUUUCAGCAUCAAUCAACCUCCUACUCAAAUAAUAAAUUACUCUCUCUUUCCCUUCAAAUUCUUGAACUAAAGCUGAACCGAUAACCGAUCCAUCGGUAGAUAAAUAUAAUUUGAAGGGUUUUCCUUGUUGAGGUGGAACUAAAACUGGAGGAUUUACUAGAUACCUUUUGAUUUCAUCCAGAGCCAACUGCUGUUCUUCUCCCCAAACAAACUCCUGAUCGGCUUUCAAUUUAAGAAGAGGACUGAAAGCACGAAUUCUCCCAGAUAAAUCCGAUAUAAAUCUUCUGAUAAAAUUCACCUUGCCGAUCAAGGAUUGGAGCUCGGUUUUAUUGGUAGGGGCCACUAUUUUAUUGAUGGCAUCAAUAGAUCUUCGACUAAUUUCAAUACCCCUCUGAUGUACCAUAAAACCAAGAAACUGCCCUGCCGAUACACCAAAUGCACACUUGUUGGGGUUCAUCUUCAAUCCAUGCUUCCUGGUGCACUCCAACACUUUUCGUAAAUCGGCAAGAUGCUUUGAGAAAUCUCCAGACUUAACCACCACAUCAUCAAUAUAAAUUUCUACGAUCUUGCCGAUGAACUCAUGAAAUAUAAAAUUCAUAGCCCUUUGAUAAGUAGCACCAGCAUUCUUUAACCCAAAAGUCAUGACUAUCCAUUCAAAUAGUCCAACAUGACCAGGACACCUGAAUGCGGUUUUUGGAAUAUCCUCCUCUGCCAUGAAUAUUUGAUUGUAACCCGCAUUACCAUCCAUGAAGCUGAUGACCCGAUGGCCAGCCGCAGCAUCAACCAGUAGAUCGGCGACGGGCAUUGGGUAUCCAUCCAUCGGCGUAGCUUUAUUGAGAUUCCUGAAAUCAAUGCACACCCGAAGCUUCCCGUUCUUCUUGUAAACCGGAACAACAUUGGAAAUCCAUUCGGCAUACCGACACUGCCGAAUAAACUUAGCUUCAAUAAGUUUAGUGAUUUCGGCCUUAAUAUCAGGUAGAAUGUUAGGAUUACAUCAGCGGGCUGGUUGCUGAUGUGGCCGAAAUCCAGACUUGAUGGGUAACCGAUGUUCAACAAUUGAUCGGUCUAAACCAGGCAUCUCUGUAUAAUCCCAAGCAAAGCAAUCUUUAUAUUCCUUUAACAAACUAGUUAACUGCCGUUUACACUCAGGAUCCAAUUUAGCACUAAUAAAAGUAGGCCUAGGCUUAUCACCACUACCUAUAUCUACUUCUACCAAAUCAUCGGCCGAUGUGAAUCCUUGGCCUAAUUUUCCAUCAUCGGCGAAUCUAUCCAUUAAAAACCGUCGUCAGAACCGACUGCUUGGAUCGGUGGAAUCUCAUAAUCGGCAACUUUGAGAAAAUCUUUCUCCCAAACUUCUCCUGAAAUGCACCUAGUCUUUUCAUAAGUAUCCGCUUCUGCUGAUGCGAUAACAUAAGAAGAAUCCCCUGGGACGAUCUCAAUCUUGUCACCUACCCACUGAACCAAGCACUGGUGCAUUGUAGAUGGGACACAACAAUUGGCAUGAAUCCAAUCUCUCCCUAAUAAUAAAUUGUAGGCACCUUUUCCGCUGAUCACGAAAAAAGUUGUCGGCAAGGUUUUGCUGCCGAUGGUCAACUCUGCGCAUAUCGCCCCCUUGACUGGAGACACGUUUCCUUCAAAGUCUUUGAGCAUCAUAUCGGUCUUGGUCAAAUCUUGAUCCCCUUUCCCAAGCUUCCGAUAUACUGCAUACGGCAUAAUGUUAAUAGCAGCUCCACCAUCAACUAGGAUCUUAGUCAUUGGCUGCCCAUCAACCCUUCCUUUGAGGAACAAAGCUUUAAGAUGCUGCCUCUCGUCAUCGGCAGGUUUCUCAAAGAUAGCCGUCAUCGGAUCCAGAGCCAACUGAGCUAUCUGAUCAGAAAAUUCCAGGUCAUCGUCACCGGCUGGUGCAAGAAACUCCAUCGGUAACAUGAAGACCAUGUUGACGCCUGCCGAUGGACCUUCCCUCUUAGUGUCUGACGGCUGCCGACUUCCAGAGUUCUCUCCCUUGUUUAGCUCCUCUUGCCUUUCUCGUUGCAAUCUCCUUUUCUGUGUCUUGGUUAAUCCUUGAGGGCACCAUGGAGGAAGUGGCCUUUGUCUUGCCAUCGGGCGUCGGUUCUCCCUUGACUCCAUACGAUGUGUGUUAGCCUCUCUGCAAAAUAUGAACUCAUCGGGAACCCGCGCAUUAGCCAUCCCCUCUAGCUCUUCCUGGUUCCUGGGAAAAUACUGGGCACGGUCACCGAGCCGAUCGCGAACGCUAAGCCUGCCCCCCAGCCGAUCAUGAACUGACCCCCUUCCUCUGAUUGGCCCAUUAAAUCGCCGUUCAUCAUCAUGAUAACGCCGAUCGUUCCUAUCGUACCGAUCAUAACCGUUGCAUUCAGGGCAGUCUCUGACAGUAGGAAGCUUGAUAUUUUCCUCCCAACAAUGGAUGAAGAAUGGGCAAUUCCAAUGAUCCCUGUGCCGAUUCCACUCCUGUCGGCGUCUUUCUUCUUCCCGUUGAUAUUCUUCCUGCUGGCGUCGAUACCGAUCUUCCCGUUGUUGCCAUCUCUCUCGAGGCCUUCUAUGAGUUAUGACGAUACCAGAUCGAGGAAGUCUUCCUGAGCUAGCUCCUUCCUGGACCAAGCCCUUACUUCUUGCAUCGGCGGUAGUAACUUGAUGCUGAGGAUCUACCGAUGCACUCUUCUCAGCUGUCUCCGACGUUAAGACCUUAGCCUUCCCCUUAGCAUCCAACAUGUUUGUCGGGAAAGGAUGUUGGUCUAUCUUCAUCGGCUUCUGGGCUUUGGAACUGUCAAACUUGAUUCUCCCUGACUCUAUAGCCGAUUGCAGCUGCUGUCUGAACACUUUGCACUCGUUGGUGUCAUGUGAAGUUGCAUUAUGCCACUUGCAAUAUCUCAUCCUCUUCAACUCUUCUGCCGACGGGAUCACGUGGUUAGGUGACAGUUUGAUUUGACCUUCCUGAAGUAGAAAGUCAAAAAUCCUAUCGGCCUUGGCGGUGUCAAAGGCGAACUUCUCUGGUUCCUUUUGCCCGAAAGGACAAGACAUCGGCCUCUUGUUUUUUACCCAUUCUGCUAAACCGAUUACUGGUUCUUCGUCGGAAUCUGAGCUUGUUGCUUCGUCAACAAAUGACACUUUCUUAUUCCAUGCCCUCUUAGGCUCGAAAGGCUUGAUGUCUUGAUCAGAUAUCCUCUGCACCAAAUGACUUAAACUUUCGAACUCCUGAGAGGCAUACUUAUCCCUGAUAUGUGGUAACAAACCUUGGAAAGCCAAAUCGGCUAGCUGCCGAUCAUCCAGAACCAGGCUAUAGCAUUUAUUCUUGACCUCUCGUAUCCUCUGCACAAAUCCCUCAACCGACUCAUCAUUACGUUGCCUCAACUUGACCAAGUCGGUGAUCUUCUUCUCAUGAACCCCCGAGAAGAAGUAUCUGUGGAAUUGCUUCUCUAGAUCGGCCCAAGUAAUUACUGAAUUGGGAGGUAAUGAUAUGAACCAAGUAAAGGCCGAUCCAGACAAUGAUGAUGAAAAUAGACGAACCCUCAAUUCGUCCCUGUUACCAGCCUCUCCACAUUGAAUAAUGAACCUGUUGACAUGCUCCAUGGUUGACGUGUCGUCCUGUCCGGAAAACUUUGUAAAAUCCGGUACCUUGUACCGAUGUGGAAGCGGGAUCAAAUCAUACGCUGGAGGAUACGGCGUCCGGUAAGAAUAAGUGUUGACUUUGGGUUUUAUCCCAAAUUGUUCCCUCAUUACUUCAGCAAUCUUAUCGGCCCAAUAAGCAUCGGCAUCUUGCCGAUGAGGCGGCUGCGGAUCUGGCAUUUGGUGGCGAACCUCCACGUGUCUGUUUGGGACGUGACCUGUAUGGAACAUCGUAUUGGUCACCUGUCCUCCAAUCUGCGGACUACCAAACUGCUGUCCACCGAUUGGCUGUCCAAAAUUUAUUGGCUGGUUGGGAAUUCCCUGACCUUGGAACCCGGGAUAAACCUGCCCUUGCUGGAACCCCGUAGUCUGAUAACCCUGCUGGGGCGAUUGUGGAAAGGCUUGCUGUCCAAGCCAUCCAUUAUUAGCGUUCAUCGGCAUAGGUGCUGCCGAUGAUUGGUAAUUGGGUACCGUCGUUGAAUUGACAUACCCCGACUGGGCCAUAGGCCUCUGUUGUAUCAGCAUUGACUCUGCCGAUGCGUUGGGCAUCUGGAACAUUGAAUCUUGAGGAUUUCCAGUGUGAGGCCUUGCAGUAGUAGUGGUGGUAUACCGAGGACUCUGGUUCACCGGCACAUUGGAAGGUGCCGAUGUCAUGGGAGUUUUGCCCCUCAUGUCAGUUAUCUGUGAUGUUCCCGGCGUCAACUCUGGAGGCAUACCAUAACCCCACCAGUUGGGAGGAAGAGUUAACCCCGACAUUGCCGAUGCCAACAUAUCUGUUGUCAGUUUAUGCUGCCCAACUGAAAUUUGUGGGUUGGUUGCCAUCGGCAUGGAUAGUGCACCAGUAGUCCCCAAUGUACUUGGAGGGACGGCAGACUGUGCACUUGCACUCGUCAAGGCAGCCGAUGGAGCCGUGACCUCUGGUGCCGUGGGUUGAUGAUGGGAGGGGCCCACAUAAUCCGGCGGGAUUUGUCCUUCCUUGAAGGUUCUUGCCACGGCGUUGAAAACCGUAUUAGACAGUACACCAGCUUGGUUAAUCAACGCUCGAUUGAUGGCAUUGUCAACCAUAUCUUGAAGCUUGCCAGGAUUGGCGUCGAAGGUGACCUGCCGUGGUGCCGGCAGUGCAUCUUUCUGGACCACUUCGCCGCUCCUGUUUAUGCUGAAAGACUUCAGGCAUUGCUGCUUGAACUCUUCCAUGGCUUGGGCAAUAGCUUGCUUCUGCUCAUCCUUGAGGUUGGCCUCCGUCACGGGGAUGACGUUGUCUUGAUCGAGGUCAGAGAUCGACAUGUUGAUCUUGAUCUUGAAUCUGUCCCACCAGGCGUGCCAAAAGAUGUGUUGAUGCAAAACUGAUCUGCAAACACAAAGGGCUAAUACCCGAUUCAAACGUUAAGGCGUGCCAGCCGAUUUGACCUUGCUAUCGGCAAAGGUGAUAACUCGAAUACUUUAGUCCUGACAACAGCGAUGCGCCCGGAUGUCACGGCUAAGAGGUACUCACGCGGAACUCGAGAACACGCCGAGCUUAAGUCGACGAAUUCCUAAGAACUCGUAAUAAAAAGAAAAAAUAUGACGAAGUCGUCGAAAAGUAGAUGCUGGAAUAUGAGUAAAAACGUGUGUUUGAUUGAUUUCUUGAUAGAUAUCCUGAUUACAAGGUCUUGGGGCUUAUAUUUAUACCCUGCUCAAAGAGCUACGACCAGACGCGAUUAGAAUUCGAAUUCCAAAUUACACGGAACCCGUAUACAAAACGAUACGAAUAACAUAAGGAAAUAAUAAAACCAUCCUUCGUGACAAACCGAAAUUCCUCCACAUGACAACUGGCAGCUUCCGGACUCUCCCUUCGCGUCAUCGGCAAUCCCCUUGCCAUAGUCAUCGGCAGACCCUUUUACUUGGUCAUCGGCACCAUACUACUGUCUGAGGACUUAGUCACAUUCAACCUUUCCCUCAUCGGCAACCAUCCUUACCAGCAACCCGCAUCGUACUGCCAUCCUGUCCUGCCAUCCUGGACACGUGCCCAAAAAUGGUGUCAACAGUUCUAGUACAAUUUUUUUUAUGCAUCUUUAGAUCUAUAUUUUUCUGUAAUUAAUUAGACUAAUUAUAGCUACAUUUUCUAUGGUCUAAUUGUGAUGAAAUUUAUAUGGUGCGCUAAUUAUUCUAUGUUUGAGUUAUAGUAAAAAUUUUAUACUCAUUGAAUCACGUAUUACUUAGUUAUAGAUUUAUUUAGGUUUAUGCUUAUUAAAUUAUAAUAAAUCUAUAACUAAGUUAUACAUGAUUUAAUGAGUAUGAAAUUUUUACCAUAGUUUAAACAUAUAAUAAUUAGUCUAACAUAAAAAAAUCACCACAAUUGAACCAUACAAACUAUAGCUAUGAAUUAUUCUAAUUAAUUAUAGAAAAACACAGAUCUGUACCAGGCUGAGAGAAUUCCCUCAAGUGAGUGGUCCCGCUCAAAAAACAUGUUCUUGGUAGGUACGAUUUGAAUAAUGUAAGCAUUGAAAUACUACCCUGCUCCUUUGUUGAGAACGGAUCUAUAACUUCGAUCCAAGCAGUUUAUGUACCUGCAGACGAUUUGACCGACCCUGCUCCUGCCACAACAUUAUGUUCUUCGAAUGGAUCUCUUAAUUGUUGAGAGGGUUGCCCAAACGCGGUAUAUAAGGCAUACCCAGUAAAGCUUACAAGUAAACCAGAUAUGGAGAUGGCGACUAAAGUUGCUGUUUCCAUUUUUAUAGAAUUUCAAGAUUACAAUGGAUCUAUGAAAAGAUCGUGUAUUUACAACUACAACGGAAUAGUAUACAAAGUCAAUCUAGAUUAUGGAAUAAAACCGCGUUAUAACAAUAAGAAUUCCGCGGGCCCUUUCCGCUCUAAUCAGAUAAAGGGGAGUAAGGACCCGCUAAGUUCCUACUUUUUCAUGUUUACAAUCUGGAUCCUCCGAUUACUAUAGAGAUGAACCCAAUCCAGAAUACGAACCGUAAAAGAAAACACCUAUUAAACCAAUCACAAGAAUACCAGUUACAGUACCUAUCAGCCAAAGAGGAAUUCUUCCAGUAGUAUCGGCCAUUUCCCCUACUUUCCUUUAAUAUCCAUCCCUUUGGUCUUAUUGACAUAAGAGAUGUCAUUUAUAGUCUAUCUCUUUCUAUAUAUGGAAAGUCAAGAAAUUCUCAUCGAAACAUCGAGAAAUUGUGCAUGCUAUAAGAUAGCUAGUUGUGGGGCUUUCGAAAAAAAAGGCUGAAGGCUUCGCUAUCGCUCAUGGCUUGUAUUGUAGUCGUAGUCUUGUAGUCGGCCCUCCAUGCCUCUUUAGUCUUUCUAAUCCUGAG
rnacentral:lncRNA from 1 species